rnacentral:rRNA from 1 species
CCUACGGGAGGCAGCAGUGAGGAAUAUUGGUCAAUGGGCGGAAGCCUGAACCAGCCAAGUAGCGUGCGGGAUGAAGGCCCUACGGGUCGUAAACCGCUUUUGCACGGGGAUAACAUCCUCCACUUGUGGAGGUCUGCAUGUACCGUGCGAAUAAGGGCCGGCUAAUUCCGUGCCAGCAGCCGCGGUAAUACGGAAGGGCCGAGCGUUUUCCGGAUUCAUUGGGCUUAAAGGGAGCGUAGGGGGUAGUUCAAGUCAGCGGUAAAAUCUCGCGGUUAAACCGAGCCGCGCCGUUGAAACUGGAUGACUUGAGUGCAGAUGAGGCAGGCGGAAUGCGUGGUGUAGCGGUGAAAUGCAUAGAUAUCACGAGGAACCCCGAUUGCGAAGGCAGCCUGCCGGGGUGCGACUGACGCUGAGGCUCGAAGGUGUGGGUAUCAAACAGGAUUAGAUACCCGUGUAGUC